CGUCACAUGCAGCAUUAUGACAUCGUCGACGUAAUAUUCCGUUAUUUCUUAUAAGACGUUAUUCGAAUCAGAAUAAAAACGCUAACUCUGCAAAUAUGCGUAUAUUUUGUUCUAGUUCAAGCUAGGAAGAUACAAGAGCGAAAUUUUCCACAAUAACUUGCCUAGUAAAAUCUAACGAAGUCAGCCAGCUCAGAACCUAUGACAUUGAAAACUGUAAUUUUCCAGAAGAUUUUCGUCGAAGCAGAGACGGUGUGCCUUUUUUGAAAAUCAGAGAUUUCCAUAGGAGAAUCAAAACAUAAACCCUUUGCAUUAUGGUAUCCAGAAAUAUAGAGAACCCUUCUAUCAAAGCUGGUGCAAGAUGUUGCGGAUCAAAGAAAUCAAGAAAAGCAAGAUGCAGAUUGAUAUACUGUGUGAAAUGUUGUAGGAAAACACCGACAUAUAAUUCGAAAGUUGUGAGGUUACAGAAUGGGGUUUGCGCACUGAAAGGAGGCUGCUCUAUGUGCACGUCGUUAAAAUAUAAAUUUGUUUCACCGAAGUUUGCAAGGAAGUGGAGGACGAUUUAAUGAAUCCAUGUUGAAAUAUUUUUCGAUGAAUAAAGUAAUCGACAUGCAAUGC